UCUACCUCUAACUGGAGGAUAGCCCGAAGAAAUUCGGAUUAAUACUCCAUAAAGUCAUAAUUUCGCAUGUUAUUAUGAUUAAAGCUCCGGCGGUUAGAGAUGAGCAUGCGUGUCAUUAGCUUGUUGGUGAGGUAACGGCUCACCAAGGCAACGAUGACUAGGGGUUCUGAGAGGAUGAUCCCCCACACUGGUACUGAGACACGGACCAGACUCCUACGGGAGGCAGCAGUGAGGAAUAUUGGGCAAUGGGCGAAAGCCUGACCCAGCCAUGCUGCGUGCAGGAUGACUGCCCUAUGGGUUGUAAACUGCUUUUAUACGGGAAGAAUGGUUCCUACGUGUAGGGAUUUGACGGUACCGUAAGAAUAAGCAUCGGCUAACUCCGUGCCAGCAGCCGCGGUAAUACGGAGGAUGCAAGCGUUAUCCGGAUUCAUUGGGUUUAAAGGGUGCGCAGGGGGAAUAUUAAGUCAGUGGUGAAAUCCUGCAGCUUAACUGUAGAACUGCCAUUGAUACUGAUAUUCUUGAAUGUAGUUGAGGUGGGCGGAAUGUGUAAUGUAGCGGUGAAAUGCUUAGAUAUUACACAGAACACCGAUUGCGAAGGCAGCUCACUAAACUAACAUUGACGCUGAGGCACGAAAGCGUGGGGAGCGAACAGGAUUAGAUACCCUGGUAGUCCACGCUGUAAACUAUGAUCACUCGCUGUUGGCAAUACAUCGUCAGCGGCUGAUCGAAAGCAUUAAGUGACCCACCUGGGGAUUACGAUCGCAAAGAUUGAAACUCAAAGGAAUUGACGGGGGCCCGCACAACGCGGAGAAACAUGUGGUUUAAUUCGAUGAUACGCGAGGAACCUUACCUGGGCUUAAAUGCAGAUCGACGUUCCGGGAAACCGGAAUUCCUUCGGCCGAACUGCAAGUGCAUGCAUGCCUGUCGUCAGCUCGUCCCGUGAGGUGUCGGGUUAAGUCCCAUAACGAGCGCAACCCUUAUCGUUAGUU
rnacentral:rRNA from 1 species